rnacentral:tRNA from 1 species
GGAGAGGUGGCUGAGUGGCCGAAAGCACCGGUUUGCUAAAUCGGCGAAGGUGUCAUAACCUUCCGCAGGUUCGAAUCCUGUCCUCUCCG